rnacentral:rRNA from 1 species
AUUGAACGCUGGCGGCAUGCCUUACACAUGCAAGUCGAACGGCAGCACGGGAGCAAUCCUGGUGGCGAGUGGCGAACGGGUGAGUAAUAUAUCGGAACGUGCCCAGUCGUGGGGGAUAACGUAGCGAAAGCUACGCUAAUACCGCAUACGAUCUAUGGAUGAAAGCGGGGGAUCGCAAGACCUCGCGCGAUUGGAGCGGCCGAUAUCAGAUUAGGUAGUUGGUGAGGUAAAGGCUCACCAAGCCGACGAUCUGUAGCUGGUCUGAGAGGACGACCAGCCACACUGGGACUGAGACACGGCCCAGACUCCUACGGAGGCAGCAGUGGGGAAUUUUGGGACAAUGGGCGCAAGCCUGAUCCAGCAAUGCCGCGUGCAGGAUGAAGGCCUU